rnacentral:rRNA from 1 species
GACGAACGCUGGCGGCGUGCUUAACACAUGCAAGUCGAACGAAGUGGCGAACGGGUGAGUAACGCGUAAUCAACCUGCCCUUCGGAGGGGGACAACCGUUGGAAACGACUGCUAAUACCGCAUACUGAAGGAGGGGAUUGCGUCUGAGUUGCUAGGUGGAGGGGUAACGGCCCACCAUGGCGAUGAUCAGUAGCCGGUCUGGGGGGAUGAACGGCCACAUUGGGACUGGGACACGGCCCAGGCCCCUACGGGAGGGAGCAAGUGGGAAUCUUCCGAAAGGGACGAAAGUCUGACGGAGCAACGCCGCGUGAGUGAUGACGGCCUUCGGGUGGGAAAGCUCUGUUAAUCGGGACGCGGUACCGGAAUAGAAAGCCACGGCUAACUCCGUGCCAGCCGCCGCGGUAAUUC